rnacentral:tRNA from 1 species
GAGGCUGUAGCCCAGUGGUAAAGUACUUGCCUCGAAUGUGUGAGGCCCUGGGUUCAAUCCCCAGCACCUCA